CCUGACUGCUAUCGGAUUGAUACUAAGCCAUGCGAGUCAUUGUAGCAAUACAAGGCAGACGGCUCAGUAACGCGUAGUCAACCUAACCUAUGGACGGGAAUAACCUCGGGAAACUGAGAAUAAUGCCCGAUAGAACACUAUACCUGGAAUGGUUUGUGUUCCAAAUGAUUUAUCGCCAUAGGAUGGGACUGCGGCCUAUCAGUUUGUUGGUGAGGUAAUGGCCCACCAAGACUAUUACAGGUACGGGCUCUGAGAGGAGUAGCCCGGAGAUGGGUACUGAGACACGGACCCAGGCCCUAUGGGGCGCAGCAGGCGAGAAAACUUUGCAAUGUGCGAAAGCACGACAAGGUUAAUCCGAGUGAUUUCUGCUAAAGAAAUCUUUUGUUAGUCCUAGAAACACUAACGAAUAAGGGGUGGGCAAGUUCUGGUGUCAGCCGCCGCGGUAAAACCAGCACCUCAAGUGGUUAGGAUGAUUAUUGGGCCUAAAGCAUCCGUAGCCGGCUCUGUAAGUUUUCGGUUAAAUCUGUACGCUCAACGUACAGGCUGCCGGGAAUACUGCAGAGCUAGGGAGUGGGAGAGGUAGACGGUACUCGGUAGGAAGUGGUAAAAUGCUUUGAUCUAUCGAUGACCACCUGUGGCGAAGGCGGUCUACCAGAACACGUCCGACGGUGAGGGAUGAAAGCUGGGGGAGCAAACCGGAUUAGAUACCCGGGUAGUCCCAGCUGUAAACUAUGCAAACUCAGUGAUGCAUUGGCUUGUGGCCAAUGCAGUGCUGCAGGGAAGCCGUUAAGUUUGCCGCCUGGGAAGUACGUACGCAAGUAUGAAACUUAAAGGAAUUGGCGGGGGAGCACCACAAGGGGUGAAGCCUGCGGUUC
rnacentral:rRNA from 2 species